rnacentral:rRNA from 1 species
CCCUUAGAUGUUCUGGGCCGCACGCGUGCUACACUGAGUGGAUCAGCGGGUCAGGUUGCGCGAAAGUGUUUCCUAAUCUUUAAAUCCGCUCGUGAUGGGGAUUGACGGUUGCAAUUUUCCGUCAUGAACGAGGAAUACCUUGUAAGCGCGGGUCAUCAUCCCGCGCUGAAUACGUCCCUGCCCUUUGUACACACCGCCGGUCGCUCCUACCGAUUGAGUGGUCCGGUGAGGCUUUGGGAUCUGAGCGGAAAGAGCGUUUCGCUGUUUCUGCCCGGAAAACUCAGUCGAACCUUAUCAUUUAGAGGAAGGAGAAGUCGUAACA